UCAGGAUGAACGCUAGCUACAGGCUUAACACAUGCAAGUCGAGGGGCAGCAUUGGGAUAGCUUGCUAUUCAGAUGGCGACCGGCGCACGGGUGAGUAACGCGUAUCCAACCUUCCUGCCAGUAGGGAACAGCCCGGCGAAAGUCGGAUUAAUGCCCUAUGUUCUUCAAUGCGGACAUCUAAGUUGAAGGAAAGAUUCAUCGCUGGCAGAUGGGGAUGCGUCCGAUUAGCUUGCCGGCGGGUAACGGCCCACCGGGGCGACGAUCGGUAGGGGUUCUGAGAGGAAGGUCCCCCACACUGGUACUGAGACACGGACCAGACUCCUACGGGAGGCAGCAGUGAGGAAUAUUGGUCAAUGGGCGUAAGCCUGAACCAGCCAAGUAGCGUGCAGGAUGACGGCCCUACGGGUUGUAAACUGCUUUUAUGCGGGGAUAAAGUGCGGCACGUGUGCCGCUUUGCAGGUACCGCAUGAAUAAGGACCGGCUAAUUCCGUGCCAGCAGCUGC
rnacentral:rRNA from 1 species